rnacentral:rRNA from 1 species
GAUGAACGCUAGCGGCAGGCUUAAUACAUGCAAGUCGAACGGCAAGGAUUUUUCGGAAUCCCUAGAGUGGCGCACGGGUGAGUAACACGUACACAACAUGCCCUAUAUUGGGAGAUAGCAUCGGGAAACUGGUGGUAAUACCCCAUAGUGUUAGUGAAAGGCAUCUUUUACUAACUAAAGAUUUAUUGAUAUAGGAUUGGUGUGCGUCCCAUUAGCUAGUUGGUAGGGUAACGGCCUACCAAGGCGACGAUGGGUAGCUGGCGUGAGAGCGCGACCAGCCACACUGGAACUGAGACACGGUCCAGACUCCUACGGGAGGCAGCAGUAGGGAAUUUUGGACAAUGGGCGCAAGCCUGAUCCAGCCAUUCCGCGUGCAGGAUGAAGGCCUUCGGGUUGUAACUAGCUUUGUUACGGUAACGAAACGGACGAGACGUCUAAUACAGUUGUCUAAUGACGGUACCGUAACGAAUAAGACACCGGACCGUAACUAACGUUGCCACGCAGACCGCCGGUAAGUAACG